rnacentral:rRNA from 1 species
GGAGAAAAGCAGGGGAUCGCAAGACCUUUCGCUUUCGGAGUGGCCGAUAUCAGAUUAGCUAGUUGGUGGGGUAAAGGCCUACCAAGGCGACGAUCUGUAGCGGGUCUGAGAGGAUGAUCCGCCACACUGGGACUGAGACACGGCCCAGACUCCUACGGGAGGCAGCAGUGGGGAAUUUAAGACAAUGGGGGCAACCCUGAUCCAGCCAUGCCGCGUGAGUGAAGAAGGCCUUCGGGUUGUAAAGCUCUUUCGGACGGAAAGAAAUCCUAUCCGCUAAUACCGGGUGGGGAUGACGGUACCGUAAGAAGAAGCACCGGCUAACUACGUGCCAGCAGCCGCGGGAAUACGUAGGGUGCGAGCGUUAAUCGAGAAUUACUGGGCGUAAAGCGUGCGCAGGCGGUUUU